GACGAACGCUGGCGGCGUGCCUAAUACAUGCAAGUCGAACGCAUUUUAUUUCAACGUAGCUUGCUACACCGAAAGAAGGUGGGCGGCGAACGGGUGAGUAACACGUGGGUAACUUGCCCAUCAGCGGGGGAUAACACUUGGACACAGGUGGUAAUCCCGCAUAAUUCCAUUUACCGCAUGGUAGAUGGCUGGAGCGCGCUUUUGCGCCACUGUUGGAUGGACCCGCGGUGGAUUUGCUAGGUGGGGGGGUAACGGCCUACCAACGCUGCGAUGCAUAGCCGACCUGGGAAGGUGAUCGACCACACUUGGACUGGGACACGGCUCAGGCUUCUUCGGGAAGCAGCAGGAGGGAAUCUUCGGCAAUGGACGCAAGUCUGACCGAGCAACGCCGCGGGAGGUAAGAAGGUUUUCGGAUUGUAAAACUCUGUUUGUAGAGAAGAACAAGGAUGAGGGUGGAAAGUUCAUCCCUUGACGGUAUCUAACCAGAAAGCCACGGCUAACUACGUG
rnacentral:rRNA from 1 species